CCUACGGGGGGCAGCAGUGGGGAAUAUUGGACAAUGGGGGGAACCCUGAUCCAGCCAUGCCGCGUGUGUGAAGAAGGCCCUCGGGUUGUAAAGCACUUUCAGUGAGGAAGAACGCCUGGUGGUUAAUACCCAUCAGGAAAGACAUCACUCACAGAAGAAGCACCGGCUAACUCCGUGCCAGCAGCCGCGGUAAUACGGAGGGUGCGAGCGUUAAUCGGAAUUACUGGGCGUAAAGCGCGCGUAGGUGGCUUGAUAAGCCGGUUGUGAAAGCCCCGGGCUCAACCUGGGAACGGCAUCCGGAACUGUCAAGCUAGAGUGCAGGAGAGGAAGGUAGAAUUCCCGGUGUAGCGGUGAAAUGCGUAGAGAUCGGGAGGAAUACCAGUGGCGAAGGCGGCCUUCUGGACUGACACUGACACUGAGGUGCGAAAGCGUGGGUAGCAAACAGGAUUAGAUACCCGAGUA
rnacentral:rRNA from 1 species